UGUAUUGGAAGCCUGACGAGGAUGAGAACCUCCGGGGGCAAGAGGUUCGACCCGAGCGAAGCGAGAGAACGUUGCGUCAGCAACGGCCCGCAGGGCGAGCCACGCAGUGGCGAGUCAUCCUCUAUCACCGGCAG
rnacentral:sRNA from 2 species